UGGUGUCUAUGAUGUCAUUUUUACCUACAUUGUUUGACUUUUCUUGAGAAAAAACCCCAAAUUCUGAGACACUU